rnacentral:rRNA from 1 species
CAUGGGGAGCAAACAGGAUUUGGUACCCUGGUAGUCCAUGCCUUAAACAAUGAAUAUUACAUAUUGGAUUUAAUAUUUUUAUAUUGAAAAAUCUAGUAUAGAAAGUUAACACGUUAAAUAUUUCGCCUGGGGAGUAAAACCGCAAGGUUGAAACUCAAAGGAAUUGACGGGAGCUUAUACUUACGGUGGAGCAUGUGGUUUAAUCCGAUAGUCCGCGUGGAAUCUUACCAAUUUUUGACAAGUUAUUAGUUAUAUUAAAUAAUACAGGUGUUGCAUGGCCGUCGUCAGCUUAUGUUUUGAAAUUUAAUAUAUAAGUACAACCCUUAUUUUAAUUUGCUAUAAUUUAAAAAGAAUAAUAUUGUUAAACUAUUAAAUUUGCACUAUUAAAAUUAAAUAAAUAUAAGUAAAAAUUAUAUUUAAAAGGAUGAAGAUAGGUCGUUAUGACCCUUAUAAAUU